UUAUUAGUCACAUACACAUGGUUAUUGUGUGUGUGUGUGUGUGUGUUUAAUAUUUAUGCAGGUGCAAACCAACAGGCACAAAACGUACUUGGCAGCAACUGAAGAUGAAAUAUAAAAAUAUACUUCAAACAGCCAAUAGAAAAAAGGCAGAGGGACGAAAAACAAGUGGCGGUCCACCACCACUCACAGAGGCUGAAGAGAUGGCCCUCAGUCAAAACAGUGGGCGACCUAUUGGUGAAGGCAUCUCUGGAGGAAGCUCAUCUGACCCAACCACACCCCAGGACACAAGGACCUACAUAAGAGAGCAAUGCUGGAAAUUACAAUGAGGAAGAGGGUCCAUCCACCUCCACAGCCCAACUUACCUCAGUAAGAUGUUGUUCAGCAUUGGCCCAUGACUUACAAUGAAACUAACUAGACCUGGCACUGUGAAAUUCAAUGUCAUUUUUUUUGUGUGUUCCUAUAGCUCCCUGUGCUGUACAAGGUGCACUUAGAGAAACAAAUUGAAAAAUGUAAUUUAGAAAUUGACCACAAGGCUGCAGAUGCAAAAGAUAGAAAUACAACAGCUGGAACAUCAGUUAAAGGUGGGUGAGGUGCCUACAGGCGGAGGAUUUUACUUGUUUGAACAACAUAACAAAUAUUAACU